rnacentral:rRNA from 1 species
UACGAAGGGGGCUAGCGUUGCUCGGAAUCACUGGGCGUAAAGGGUGCGUAGGCGGGUCUUAAGUCAGGGGUGAAAUCCUGGAGCUCAACCUCAGAACUGCCUUUGAUACUGAGGAUCUUGAGUUCGGGAGAGGUGAGUGGAACUGCGAGUGUAGAGGUGAAAUUCGUAGAUAUUCGCAAGAACACCAGUGGCGAAGGCGGCUCACUGGCCCGAUACUGACGCUGAGGCACGAAAGCGUGGGGAGCAAACAGG